rfam:Epulopiscium sp. AS2M-Bin001 AS2M_MBin01_121, whole genome shotgun sequence.
GAGAACUAUUUAACUGAGAGGAUCAAAUGACUGGAGUAACGAUCAGAAAGGGUCCCCUUUGAUACUGCGAGGAGUAUUUGAAAUGUUAAGAUUUUAGAUAUUCUAUAGCUCGCUAAAGUCAUCUGAGUUACAACCCUAAGUAAGAAAGAAUAAAAAUUCUUAUAGGAAAUCCGAACCAGAGGUGGUCGAGUUGUAUAUAGGGUGGAAGGCUAUAAA